rnacentral:pre_miRNA from 1 species
CGGGGGAGGCGGGAUCCUGGGCUGUGUCCCGGCGGCCUGUGCUCCGGAGCCUGCGCUGGUGGAUUCGCGCUCCCGCCCCGCAGCCCCCU